rnacentral:rRNA from 1 species
AAUGAACGUUGGCGGCGUGGACUAGGCAUGCAAGUCGUGCGAGAAUCGUAGCAAUACGAGGACAGCGGCGAAAGGGAGAGGAACACGUGGAUACGUACCCUCGGGCCCAGGAUAGCCAUGGGAAACUAUGGGUAAUACUGGAUAACAUCUCCGGACCAAAGGUGUGAUUCCGCAUGGGGAGCGGCCUGCAUCCUAUUAGCUAGUUGGUGUGGUAAUGGCGCACCAAGGCAAAGAUGGGUAGCAGGUGUGAGAGCACGACCUGCGUCACUGGGACUGAGACACUGCCCAGACACCUACGGGUGGCUGCAGUCGAGGAUCUUCGGCAAUGGGCGCAAGCCUGACCGAGCGACGCCGCGUGUGGGAUGAAGGCCUUCGGGUUGUAAACCACUGUCAGAGGGGAUGAAAUGCCGUUGGGUUCUCUCAACGGUUUGACAGAUCCUCAGAGGAAGGGUGGGCUAAGUUCGUGCCAGCAGCCGCGGUAACAC